UACGGGGGGAGCAAGCGUUGUUCGGAUUUACUGGGCGUAAAGGGCGCGUAGGCGGUCGUGACAAGUCACUUGUGAAAUCUCCGGGCUUAACUCGGAACGGUCAAGUGAUACUGUCGGACUAGAGUACAGAAGGGGCAACUGGAAUUCUCGGUGUAGCAGUGAAAUGCGUAGAUAUCGUAAGGAAGACCAGUGGCGAAGGCGAAUCUCUGGACAGUUACUGACACUGAGGCACGAAGGCCAGGGGAGCAAACGGG
rnacentral:rRNA from 1 species